AACCCAAACUCGUGUGGAAUUUAUCGAGCAGCGCUUGGGGAAUACCCGUGACCAUUUAGGCAACCCAACACUGGUUCGGUACAGAGUUUUAUCUGGACUAAUAUGUCAAUGGCGCACGUCGUCGACCGUCAACUGUGAGUGCCAUCGGCUCCAUCUCGGCCACCGCAGCAGCCAGUGCCCAGCCCACGGUGCUGCGCGGCUGGCAGGUUCUUGUACACAGCCCGGCUGUAUGGGAUGAAGCACAGGCCCAGCUGGAGGUGUCGGGCCAGGCGACAGUAUGCAGCCAGUGCCAGGACCAGCAGAGGGGUCACUAAGAGGAAUCCCACUACCAGUAGAGCCACGCAGCCUCCGUCAGUCAGCAGGUCUGAGCAAUACGGGGUCGUCCCAUGAGGGCGGACCUGCAGAGACAACAGGAGAAAGACGAUGAUGUCGAGAAACGUUUUUUCAGAGGUCCUGGUUAAUCCCCCUCUAAGCUGCUGUCACAUGAGGUCUAACUGUGAGAGAGCAGGAGAACACAGAAUCUUGAUCUCUCUGGUCAUUAAGGAGGUCCUCGGCCUACAAAUAUGCCAUUGAGUGGCAGAGGAAGCCAAACACCACCAUGACAGUGGCUGGUGUCAGGAUGGUACCAAACACCAGUCCAGCAAGGCAGGCGUUGAUCGUGGCAAUCAGCAGGUUCUGAGCUGUUACCAGUACUGAGCAGGCCCAGCAGUCCAGGGACCCCCUUAGCUCCAGAGGAGCGUCGCUGCACCUACCACCACUCUCUGCUGCCGAGUACGGAGGAGGAGUUUUGGUUAUGGCUGAGGAGAUGCAGGAGGGGAGCUCUGUCACCGGGAGGAGGCGGCGGCAGCCUGGUUAGAAAUGAAACUGUGAACAAAAGCCUGAGGAGUGAAAGAGGUGUCUGGGUCUGUGAUCUUGACGGUGCGAGCCGCAUUCCAGGACACAUGAAUCAUGGGGACGAUGGACUUCACCUUCUUGACUUCAUUCCACUCGAACCUCUCCAGGGCCAGCUGGUACUGGUGGUGCACUCACCGUUAAGAGGGCCGACAUUCCAGGCGAUGUUGUUGCACCAGCCCACAGCCUGAACCCAGUGAACAGUUCCAGCAUUGAUCCAGACCAAGUCUCCAGGCCGCUGGAUGAAGCGGUACACAGGGAUGUUGGCCUUGUAGAGAUCCUCCAGCACCGGCCACCAGGACCCCGUCAGAAGUCGUUGAUGGCCUGCCAGUAGUUCUCAUGGACAGAGAACCACUCACAGUCUCCAGGACCGAUGUUGAUGUUCACAGAGCAGAAGUUAUUAUUCUCCUGGUGACCUGUUGAAUGAAGACAGAACAUCCUCAGUUGUAGUACGAGAUUUGAUUUUUGUUGUAGUUGAAUGAAAUCUUUAUUACAGAAAAAGUCUCUUACCUGGUGUUCGGCUCCCUGGAACCUUCAUGUAGAGCUGCACAGUGUUCAUGCCUAAGAUCGUAUGUCCCACAUGACUCAGCAUGUUUCCACUGGAUGCAACACGCAUAAAAGCCGGCAGCUUCUGCAGCUCUUGAAGCUGGGACUUCCACCUGAGCAGAGACAAUAGGGUUAACUCUAUGAACAUCCUGCCGUGUGGGGAUAUAACCACCAGAGGGCAAAGCAACAUGUGGAGCGCUAUUUAGUGAGUCUCAAACACUGUUAGGUCAUGAGUGUAUUUCUGUUAUAAGAGCUAUUUCCACAGGCACAAUUUAAGUAAUGAAAAGUGGGUAGAAUUAACGGAACUCAGUAUUUAUGUUAGCUGAUUGUCUGUCUUGUUCUGUAUUACUUGUACUUUGACAAUAAAGUAACAAAACUAUUGUCUAUGUUGAAGAUACUCACCUCUUGGGAUCAGACAGGUCAAUGUUUGUUCCAAAUUUAAUGAUCUUUCCUACUGGUUUCUGUUCACCACUGAGGAACAAAAAAAACCCAUUGAAACAUAACUUCAAGUCCCCAAACACAAGUGUAAUAAAAGACGUUUGGCUAUUGGAAA